rnacentral:tRNA from 1 species
GAGGGUAUAGCUCAGGGGUAGAGCACGUGCUCAGCAUGCACGAGGUCCUGGGUUCAAUCCCCAGUCCCUCCA